GACGAACGCUGGCGGCGUGCUUAACACAUGCAAGUCGAACGGAAAGGCCCUGCUUUUGUGGGGUGCUCGAGUGGCGAACGGGUGAGUAACACGUGAGUAACCUGCCCUUGACUUUGGGAUAACUUCAGGAAACUGGGGCUAAUACCGGAUAGGAGCUCCUGCUGCAUGGUGGGGGUUGGAAAGUUUCGGCGGUUGGGGAUGGACUCGCGGCUUAUCAGCUUGUUGGUGGGGUAGUGGCUUACCAAGGCUUUGACGGGUAGCCGGCCUGAGAGGGUGACCGGACACAUUGGGACUGAGAUACGGCACAGACUCCUACGGGAGGCAGCAGUGGGGAAGAGUGCACUAUGGGCGGAAGCCUGAUGCAGCAACGCCGCGUGCGGGAUGACGGCCUUCGGGUUGUAAACCGCUUUCGCCUGUGACGAAGCGUGAGUGACGGUAAUGGGUAAAGAAGCACCGGCUAACUACGUG
rnacentral:rRNA from 1 species